CCGAUCACUCGUGCCAAUUGUCUCAGAGAAAUGUCUGGGUGGUUCAUUAUUUCCUUUUUGAUGUUGGACAUCUUUUCUGCUGGGAGGCAUAGAAUUUGUCGGACGGAGUCGACUCGGAAUCCCAGGAAUUCCAUCUGUUGAGAGGGUUGUAGCACCAAUUUCUCCCAGUUCACCAGGAAACCAUGGUUCUGGAGGAGGUGAAGGGUCCGUGAUAAGUGGGUUAGCAGUAGGGAUCAUGUCCCCGAGAGUAUGAGGAUAUCGUCUAGAUAUAUAAUAAGACGAACUCCAUGUAAC